rnacentral:rRNA from 1 species
AUGGAUGUUACUCCACUUUGUGCACCCUUUGUUAACAAAAGAAGGGUCACAUGGCUUGAAUUAGUUAUUGGAAUACCUCAACCCAUUAUUCACUAUCACUUGCCACUACAGAUAGGGGUUCUCGUGUUUCUACUCACCAGCUUGUUCGACUUCCUUCAUAGCAUACAGUGCAGCUUUGAGAAAUUCUGGACUGCUCCUCUAUAUUGUUCAGAACAAUCCCAAUGGUUAAUUGCAUGGGCAUUUUUUAAUGUCUUCAAUGGCAGUCCAGGACAUAUUCUACUGUUGAUGGUCACCAACAUUUUCAAGGCAUUGUGCAAUCCUUGUGUUGUUCCCAUGUCUACUCUCCUUGGCCAGGGAUCAGUUAUAUUGCAAUCGAUUUGCGCACCUCUUCUUUGCACUUGCUGGAGCUCUCUGUUAGGGGAUUCAGGUUCCAUUCUUGCAACUCAAAAUGUGGAACCAAGGGUGCUUCCUAAGGUAACCAGUUCUGCUACCAGCCUAUGUUAUCCAGGAAUCUCUCGUGUGCAUGGCCAGAGUACUCUUCAAUUGGUUGAUUCUCACUUACUCUAUCUCAUGUUAGUUGAUCGAGCGAAAACGAAAGAAAGGGUACAUGUCUUUGAUCCUGAGCCUGGUUUACUCUUUUGUUCAACUAUUGCUGUUUGUACUAGUGAAUGCCAGACCAACUUGAUUCCGGGAGAAAUAGUAGCUGUCAUUUGGUCUUCUCAAAACUAUGAGUACACGGGUGCAAUAUUUUCUGGACACUUGCUCUUAGCACUUGAGUUCUAUAGAGAUAGUUCAGCUGGGUGCUUCUACUCCCAGUUCAUCAUCUUCCUACACACCAGCAAAACUGAGAGUCAUCAACAACCCCAAGGGACCAAUAAAACUACAGUCAUGUUGUUGCAAGAUCUCUGA